GACGAACGCUGGCGGCGUGCCUAAUACAUGCAAGUCGAACGCAGUGGGGACGGGUGAGUAACACGUGGGUAACCUCCCAUCAGAGGGGAUACCACUUGGAAACAGGUGCUAAACCGAUACUGAUGGAUGGACCCGGGGUGCAUGAGCUAGUUGGGGAGGUAACGGCUCACCAAGGCAACGAUGCAUAGCAGACCUGAGAGGGGGAUAGGCCACACGGGGACUGAGACACGGCCCAGACGCCACCGGGAGGCAGCAGUAGGGAAUCGUCGGCAAUGGACGAAAGGCUGACCGAGCAACGCCGCGUGAGGGAAGAAGGUUUUCGGAUCGUAAAACUCUGUUGUUAGAGAAGCGGUAUCUAACCAGAAAGCCACGGCUAACUACGUGCCAGCAGCCGCGGUAAUUC
rnacentral:rRNA from 1 species